AGAGUUUGAUCCUGGCUCAGGACGAACGCUGGCGGCGUGCCUAACACAUGCAAGUCGAGCGGAGCUAUUAGCAAUAAUAGUUUAGCGGCGGACGGGUGAGUAACGCGUGGGCAACCUACCUCAUACUGGGGGAUAACACAGGGAAACUUGUGCUAAUACCGCAUAAUACCAUGGAAGGACAUCCUUCUAUGAUCAAAGGA
rnacentral:rRNA from 1 species